rnacentral:rRNA from 1 species
GACGAACGCUGGCGGCGUGCCUAAUACAUGCCAGUCGAGCGAUUAAGGUUGGUUCUUGCACCGAUUUGGAGAGCGGCGGACGGGUGAUUAACGCGUGGGUGCUCUGCCUUUGAGCGUGGGACAACAUUUGGAACCGAAUUCUAGUACCGCAUAACAGCUUUAAACAUAAGGAUUAAGGUUGAAAGAUGCAAUUGCUUCACUCAAAGCUGAUUCCGCGGUGUAUUAGCUAGUUGGCUAGGAAAAGGCUCACCAAGGCGAUGAUACAGAGCCGACCUGAGAGGGUGAUCGGCCAACUUGGGAAUGAGACACGGCCCAAACUCCUACGGGAGGCAGCAGUAGGGAAACUUCGGCCAUGGACGAAAGGCUUACCGCGCACCGCCGCGUGAGUGAAGAAGGUUUUCGGGUCGUUAAACUCUGUUGGUAGGGAAGAAAGUGGGUGAGGGUGGAAAGCUCCUCAAGUGACGGUAACUACACAGAAAGGGACGGCUAACUACGUG